UACGGAGGAUGCGAGCGUUAUCCGGAUUUAUUGGGUUUAAAGGGUGCGUAGGCGGCCGAGUAAGCCAGCGGUGAAAUUUUGCAGCUUAACUGUAACAGUGCCGUUGAUACUGCAUGGCUAGGAUUUGGUUGCUGUGGGUGGAAUGUGUGGUGUAGCGGUGAAAUGCUUAGAUAUCACACAGAAUAUCAAUUGCGAAGGCAGCUCACAAAGCCAAGAUUGACGCUGAGGCACGAAAGCGUGGGGAGCAAA
rnacentral:rRNA from 1 species